GACGAACGCUGGCGGCGUGCUUAACACAUGCAAGUCGAACGAAGUGGCGAACGGGUGAGUAACGCGUAAUCAACCUGCCCUUCAGUGGGGGACACCAGUUGGAAACGACUGCUAAUACCGCAUACUGAUGGUGGGGAUUGAGUCUGAUUAGCUAGUUGGGGGGGUAAUCGCCAACCAAGGAGAUGAUCAGUAGGCGGUAUUAAAGGAUGAACGGCCACAUUGGGACUGGGACACGGCCCAGACUCCUACGGUGGGCAGCAGUGGGGAAUCUUCCGCCAUGGACGAAAGUCUGACGGAGCAACGCCGCGUGAGUGAUGACGGCCUUCGGGUUGUAAAGCUCUGUUAAUCGGGACGCGGUACCGGAAUAGAAAGCCACGGCUAACUACGUGCCAGCCGCCGCGGUAAUUC
rnacentral:rRNA from 1 species